GGAGGAAAAGAAACCAACAGGGAUUGCCUCAGUAACGGCGAGUGAAGCGGCAAAAGCUCAAAUUUUAAAGCUGGCACCUCCGGUGUCCGCGUUGUAAUUUUGUGAGGCAUCUCCGGGUGGGGCGCCGGCCUAAGUUCCUUGGAACAGGACGUCAUAGAGGGUGAGAAUCCCGUGCUUGGCUGGCUGUCCCCGUCCAUGUGAGGUGUCUUCGACGAGUCGAGUUGUUUGGGAAUGCAGCUCAAAAUGGGUGGUAAAUUUCAUCUAAAGCUAAAUAUUGGUGGGAGACCGAUAGCGCACAAGUAGAGUGAUCGAAAGAUGAAAAGCACUUUGAAAAUAGAGUUAAAAAGUACGUGAAAUUGUUGAAAGGGAAGCGCUUGAGACCAGACUUCGGUGGGGAGUGAUCAGCCGUCCUUCUGGGCGGUGCACUUGCCCCCCUCCGGGCCAGCAUCGGUUGGGACGGCGGGAUAAAGGUCCCGGGAAUGUGGCUCCUCUCGGGGAGUGUUAUAGCCCGGGUGAAUGCCGCCAGCCCCGACCGAGGACCGCGCCUUCGGGCUAGGAUGCUUGGCAUAAUGGUCUUCAGCGACC
rnacentral:rRNA from 1 species